rnacentral:rRNA from 1 species
CCGAAGCUGGAUUCGCUAGUAAUCGCGCAUCAGCCAUGGCGCGGUGAAUACGUUCCCGGGCCUUGUACACACCGCCCGUCAAGCCAUGAAAGCCGGGGGGCGCCUGAAGUCCGUGACCGCGAGGGUCGGCCUAGGGUGAAACCGGUGAUUGGGGCUAAGUCGUAACAAGGUACC